GUGAUAGCUGGUUCUCUGCGAAAUGCAUUGCAGUGCAGCGUCUAUUAAGUUUAUGGUAGGUACAGCACUGAUUGACAUACCCGUCCGACUCGUUGGGCAGGGUUGACUAGGGGGGUGUGAAAGCUCUAUCUAGGUCAGUUAACCUCGGAAUGACCAUAAGUUCCUAUAGGCAGUGAGUCGCAGGGUGAUAAGGUCUUGUGACGAGAGGGAAACAGCCCAAA
rnacentral:rRNA from 1 species